CUGCGGAGGGAUCAUUACCGAGUUUACAACUCCCAAACCCCUGUGAACAUACCACUUGUUGCCUCGGCGGAUCAGCCCGCUCCCGGUAAAACGGGACGGCCCGCCAGAGGACCCCUAAAACUCUGUUUCUAUAUGUAACUUCUGAGUAAAACCAUAAAUAAAUCAAAACUUUCAACAACGGAUCUCUUGGUUCUGGCAUCGAUGAAGAACGCAGCAAAAUGCGAUAAGUAAUGUGAAUUGCAGAAUUCAGUGAAUCAUCGAAUCUUUGAACGCACAUUGCGCCCGCCAGUAUUCUGGCGGGCAUGCCUGUUCGAGCGUCAUUUCAACCCUCAAGCACAGCUUGGUGUUGGGACUCGCGUUAAUUCGCGUUCCUCAAAUUGAUUGGCGGUCACGUCGAGCUUCCAUAGCGUAGUAGUAAAACCCUCGUUACUGGUAAUCGUCGCGGCCACGCCGUUAAACCCCAACUUCUGAAUGUGACCUCGGAUCAGGUAGAUGCCCAGUUCUUACUGGUAAUCGUCGCGGCC
rnacentral:rRNA from 1 species